rnacentral:rRNA from 1 species
AUGUCGUGCUCCCACCUCUCCACCGCGUGGUCCUCCUCCGCGCUUGCCAGCACCUCCACACGCCGCCGCGCCUCCACCGGCAGCAGCAGCCUGGUGGUGCGGUGCUCCCUCCGGGACCUCCGCAACCGCAUCGACUCUGUCCGCAACACGCAGAAGAUCACGGAGGCGAUGAAGCUGGUGGCCGCUGCCAAGGUCCGUCGCGCGCAGGAGGCCGUGGUCUCCUCUCGCCCCUUCUCGGAGGCUCUGGUGGAGGUGCUCUACAACAUGAACCAGGAGAUCCAGUCGGAGGACAUCGACCUGCCCCUCACCCGCCAGCGCGCCGUCAAGCGCGUCGCGAUCGUCGUCCUCACCGGCGAGCGUGGUCUCUGCGGCGCCUUCAACAACAACGUGCUCAAGAAGGCCGAGGCUCGCAUGGAGGACCUCAGGCAGCUGGGCGUCGACUACACCGUCAUCAGCGUCGGCAAGAAGGGCAACGCCUACUUCCAGCGCCGCGACUACAUCCCCACCGAGCGCUUCCUCGAGCUCGCCGGGAUCCCCACCGUCAAGGACUCGCAGGCCAUUUGCGACCUCAUCUACUCCCUCUUUGUCGCCGAGGAGGUCGACAAGGUGGAGCUCGUCUACUCCAAGUUCGUCAACCUCGUCCGCUCCGACCCCAUCAUCCAGACGCUGCUGCCCAUGUCCCCUAAGGGCGAGAUCUGCGAUGUCAACGGCAUCUGUGUCGACGCCACCGAGGACGAGCUCUUCAAGCUCACCACCAAGGAAGGCAAGCUCACCGUGGAGCGCGAGAAGAUCAAGAUCGAGAUGCAGCCCUUCUCCCCCGUCGUCCAGUUCGAGCAGGACCCCGUCCAGAUCCUCGACGCUCUCCUCCCGCUCUACCUCAACAGCCAGAUCCUGCGUGCCCUCCAGGAGUCGCUCGCUAGCGAGCUCGCCGCCAGGAUGAGCGCCAUGAGCAGCGCCACAGACAAUGCCAUCGACCUCCGGAAAAAUCUCUCCAUGGUCUACAACCGCCGACGCCAGGCUAAGAUCACCGGAGAGAUCCUUGAGAUCGUCGCUGGCGCCGACGCCCUGUCCGGCUGA